UACGUAGGGGGCAAGCGUUGUCCGGAUUUAUUGGGCGUAAAGAGCUCGUAGGUGGUUCGGUAAGUCGGAUGUGAAAUCUCCAGGCUCAACCUGGAGGGGUCAUUCGAUACUGCCGUGACUAGAGGUCGGUAGGGGAGUGUGGAAUUCCUGGUGGAGCGGUGAAAUGCGUAGAUAUCAAGAGGAACACCUGAGGUGAAGACGGGUUGCUGGGCUGACACUGACGCUGAGGCGCGAAAGCCAGGGGAGCAAACGGG
rnacentral:rRNA from 1 species